rnacentral:tRNA from 1 species
GUUUAGCUCAGCUGGGAGAGCGCUUGCAUGGCAUGCAAGAGGUCAGCGGUUCGAUCCCGCUUAC